UGGGGAAUUUUGCACAAUGGGGGAAACCCUGAUGCAGCGACGCCGCGUGAUUUAGAAGGCCUUCGGGUUGUAAAAAUCUUUUCUAUGGGAAGAAAAUGACAGUACCAUAGGAAUAAGGACUGGCUAAUUACGUGCCAGCAGCCGCGGUAAUACGUAAGGUCCGAGCGUUGUCCGGAAUCAUUGGGCGUAAAGGGUACGUAGGCGGAUAAGCAAGUUAGAAGUGAAAUCCUAUAGCUCAACUAUAGUAAGCUUUUAAAACUGCUCAUCUUUAGGUAUGGAAGGGAAAGUGUAAUUCCUAGUGUAGCGGUGAAAUGCGCAGUAAUUAGGAGGAAUACCGGUGGCGAAUGCGACUUUCUGGCCAUAUACUGACGCUGAGGUACGAAAGCGUGGGUAGCAAACAGG
rnacentral:rRNA from 1 species